UACGUAGGGCGCGAGCGUUGUCCGGAUUUAUUGGGCGUAAAGAGCUCGUAGGCGGCUUGUUGCGUCGACUGUGAAAACCCGCGGCUUAACUGCGGGCUUGCAGUUGAUACGGGCAGGCUAGAGUUCGGUAGGGGAGACUGGAAUUCCUGGUGUAGCGGUGAAAUGCGCAGAUAUCAGGAGGAACACCGGUGGCGAAGGCGGAUCUCUGGGCCGAUACUGACGCUGAGGAGCGAAAGCGUGGGGAGCGAACAGG
rnacentral:rRNA from 1 species